rnacentral:lncRNA from 1 species
GUAAACUUCAAUUCAAUUAAUGAAAUACUGUUUGUGAUAUUUUUACAUUUUAAAGAUCAGUUUUUUCCGUUGUUUCUUCUUCCCCAAAUCCUUCCUCCCGCCGGCCUGCAACCUGAUCGUCUGCACCCUUUCGUCGCCGGCAUUGGGUCACCGUGACUUUAUAAAUACAUUUGCGAUUCCGUCUACGAGGGUUUACUAUGGUGGAUUUCCACCAUUAAAAUUAAGAUAGGUUUUAACCACCCUUCCUUGGUUAUUGGUGGCGGAUUUCCGCCAUUGAAAGAUAGAUUUUAACCGCCCUUCCUCGGUUAUUGGUGGUGGAUUUCCGCCAUCAAUAUAUGGAGACAACUGCCCUAAUGGACUUUAUGAUGGCGGUAUUCCGCCACCGUAUGUUUUAAAGUUGAAUGGCCCAAAUCUGUCAUCAAUAUAAAUAACAGGCAUCAAUAAAUUGAUGUCAGAUUUCUUUCGCACCAUAUAAUACAUGGCGGAUUUCCGCCAACAUAUAAUUUUCAGUUCCCACGAAAAACUUCAGAUUUAGUGGUGGAUUUCCACCAUGUAUUAUUUUUUUGGUGGGAAAUGAGUUCGAAUAAUAUAUGAUAGAUUAUCGAUGGCGCACUAUAAAAGAAAUGACAUUGUAUGACGGCCUAUUGAUGGCGGAUGUUCGCCAUCAAUUGUUUUAGUCCACCGAGAAAAGGCUUGUGCUCGACGGCGGUUCCAAUUUAUUUUCGAUGGCGGUGUUUAUAUGACGAAAAUCCGUUAUCUAAAAUAUCCCGCCCAAAAUUUCGAAUCCUCCCCAAUAUUUAACCCGAUUAAAUUGACUUAAC